rnacentral:rRNA from 1 species
AUACGGAGGGUGCAAGCGUUAUUCGGAAUCACUGGGCGUAAAGGACGCGUAGGCGGGUUGGCAAGUCAGAUGUGAAAUCCUACAGCUUAACUGUAGAACUGGAUUUGAAACUGCUAACCUAGAGUAUGGGAGGGGGAGAUGGAAUUAGUGGUGUAGGGGUAAAAUCCGUAGAUAUCACUAGGAAUACCGAAAGCGAAGGCGAUCUCCUGGAACAUAACUGACGCUAAGGCGUGAAAGCGUGGGGAGCAAACAAGAUUAGAUACCCCAGUAGUCC